GUAAAUGCAAAAAUAAACGUAUGAAAUGACAAACACGAUUCAUCCUCGAUCAUGGACGACGAUUUCCAAAUUGAAGCCGCCGCCAAUCGCCCGAACCACCGCUACAACGGCAGCGGAGGUGAGAACGAGGACGGCGAAGGAGAAGCGAGCGGCGACGUGGAAGCAUGGGAGAUUUUGAGCAAGGGCUUCAACGAGGUACAAACUGUGUUAAAUCAAAACCGUGUUUUGAUUCAACAGGUGAACGAGAAUCACCAGUCGAAGACUCCUGAUAAUUUGGCGAAAAACGUUGAUUUGAUUAAGGAAAUUAACGGGAAUAUUUCGAAAGUACUCGGUCUUUACUCGAAUAUGUCUACGAAUUUUUCCAGCGUCAUCAGACAGCAGCCGGUAAUCGCCUCUGGCGAUGGGAAGAGUAUCGCCCUUGAAAAUUAUAGCAACAAAGCAUUGGAGGAUGUUAAAUCUUAAAAUGACCGAUUCCAUAUCCUGGUUGAUGAUUGAUGAUUGAUUUAUGAGCUGUUGGACUACCUUUUAACUACAUUGAUUGCUCGCAGAUGAAAUGAGGUAAUUUUUACUUAAUUGCUUUAGGUUUCUGUAAAUUUCUUAUAAUUCUGGGAUAGUGGAAUAACUAGACGUUUCAUAGUUUCAUUAGGAUAACAGAUAUAAUGCUACUUUCAGAAAAAAAAAAAGAAAACCAGAUAUGAUGUUUUACUUGAUAUUCUUUAUAAUCAUGCAAUUGGCUCAUUGAAUUUCAGAUUCUUCUGAUAUAUACUAGGCUAAGGACCUACGAUUAUAUAUCUUUGCAUAAUGUUGAAAGCUUGAAAUUAUGAAUAGGAAAAGGACAUCUUUCAGUGGCCUUUCUAUUUUAUUGAUAUGAGAUCCCAGGUCAAAAUUGUCCUGGAAGAAACUUAAUCAUAGUAAGUUGUUUCCUACUUUCAUUUAGAAUCAAUAUCUACUACAUUUGUUAAGUGUUCUUUCGGUUCAUAGUGAAAGGCUGGAGGAAGUAGGUAACUAGUGAUUGUUCUCACCUGGGCUAGAGACUAGUGGUAUUUAAUGGCAUAUCACUGAACUAAGGCUUGCCUCACCUCACCAUAGUGGAGGGGAAUUGAACUAUUACAGUUUGAUUAAGAUGGUGACCUCUAAAGCCCAGGCCUGCCCCAGCCCAUUUAGUCUUUUUAGAAUUACUAGAGAGAGAUGGAAUGCACUGGCAUCAUCGGGGCGUUGGUGAGUUGUUGUCCGACGUGUUGGAAACAUCAGUUGGUGUGUAUGACUUAGUUUUUGGUUUUGUACAGUUGGACUCGUCGCUAACACUUUGCCGACAUGUUGGGAGAUACGUUGUGUCGGACACCUACACGACGUCGACAUGAGUUGAAAAUGCUAUGGUGUGACCGAAAUAUUUUUUUUGUUUUUGUAAUAGUUAUACAUAUUGUCAACAGGCUAAUGGAUACAUAGCCGACACGUUGAUAUGUCGAAUUAAAAAAAUAAAUCAUUUACUUUAGAAUAUAAAAGUGAUAUAAAAAACUUAAUAUCAUAUUAAUCAGUGUGUGUGGGAUGUGUCAUGUUGGUACAUUUUUGAAAAAAUUGUGUGCCGACGUGUCUGCAUCGAUGCUUCCUAGCCCACAACCAAGACUAAUUUCGUAAGAUUCUGCAAUUGUAAAUGCAACAAUAACUAAGUUUUAUCAGUUAUUAUCUUUGAAAUACUUGAAUACUUUGACAAUGACUGUUUGAAGAUAAAGUGUGGCGAGUUACUUUAUGAAUACAUGAUUUCACCGGACAAGAUAAAAUCUGGAAGUUGUGCAAUCAGUUAAGGUCAUUUGGUAAAUAUGCAAAUAAACCCAAUACAGGUCUUUUCUUGGAGAACUUUUAGAUGUGAUCACUUUCCAGAUGGCAGUGGCAAAGAACAUUCAACGUGACUAUCGUUUGUACUUUGACACUUCACUUCCUUUUCGUUCCCAAUGCCUCUUCCUUUGUUGAUCUUGUAACUUUCUAUCCUACUUUGGCUGACGACAUAGUGUAUCCAGAGAAAUGAACAGCUGAGUCCGAGCAUGAUCCUAGUAUGGUUCUGUUUCGAGUUGUGUCUAUGAAGGUACCUGGCUUAAAUGGCCCUGAAACUUGGGCACAGCUGCAUAUCCUUGUGGACUCCAAGUCAAUGACCCAUUUUAUAUCCAAAAGAUCUUCUUUUGCUUCAGUUGGUUUUAGUGGAGAUGAUGUGAAGAGUAGCUUCUACUCCAGAGAAAAUAGAUGGAUUUUUGGAGUUCUUGUUUGUUUGUUACAAUUUAUAUUCCAUUGGAUGACUUUGUCUUCUUGUUCUGUGACCACCUCAAAAUAGCAGUUUCUUAAACUUUGGAUUGACUAAGUUCCUGAUACAGCCUGACAUGUAAUAAGUCUCAGUAGUAUCAUUGUUUCAUCAUUUGCAGGCAUCUUUAAUGCACAACCGGAAACAAGUUGAAAUCUUCAACUAGCAUUUUUAAUCGCAGCCUAGUCCUGUGUUUUAGGUUUAAUGGUAAUUUGGAGUGUGUUUGGGGCUUUUGCACUCAACUUGUGACUACACAGUCACAAACUUGCUCGAUUGAAUUGGUAUUAUUGUUCUUUUGCCAUUAAUUGAAUUUAUGCAAUCAUGAUCUCUUUAUUCA